AAGGCCCCGCGCGUUUCUAUGUCAAGAGGCCGGAAAGGCAGACAGAAGGGAAAAGGCCCCGCGCGUUUCUAUGUCAACCGCCCGGAAAGGCAGACAGAAGGGUAAAGGCUCCGCACGUUUCUGUGUCCAGAGGCCGGAAAGGCAGACAGAAGGGAAAAGGCCCCGCGCGUUUCUGUGUCCAGAGGCCGGAAAGGCAGACAGAAGGGAAAAGGCCCCGCAGGUUUCUGUGUCCAGAGGCCGGAAAGGCAGACAGAAGGGAAAAGGCCCCGCGCGUUUCUGUGUCCAGAGGCCGGAAAGGCAGACAGAAGGGAAAAGGCCCCGCGCGUUUCCGUGUCAAGAGGCCAGAAAGGAAGACAGAAGAGAAAACGCUCCGCAUGUUACGGGGCUGGGGUGUGCAGUCAGGGUUUUCCUUUCCAACACUUUAUAUCAUGGCUUAUUUUCUUAAUAUUAGUAAAAACACAUUAAAAAUGAGUUCAAGUAGAAAUUAAUAGAGUAAGAAUACAUAACCUGGAUGUUCAUUUGCUCUCACUUUAUCCUUGCAAAACCAUCUGGAAUUUCUCCCCUGGUGCUUCCAAGGAGAUCAUUAUUAUAACGUAGAUCCUGGAAAAGACACCUCCUAACGAGGUGACAUUUGUGACCCCUUGGAUCAAGGUCAGCCCUUACAGUAUGCUAUUUAAGUACUGAAACACAGUUUCCUGCAAAACCUUCCAAGUCAAUAUACACAUCUGUUGCUUCAAAUCAUUUAAACAGCCCUGUAAAUGUAGCCAAAUGUCCUGUUUUAGUGGGCUCUGGCUUG
rnacentral:lncRNA from 1 species